CCUCAGUAACGGCGAGUGAAGCGGCAACAGCUCAAAUUUGAAAUCUGGCCCUCUCAGGGUCCGAGUUGUAAUUUGUAGAAGAUGCUUUGGGUGUGGCUCCGGUCUAAGUUCCUUGGAACAGGACGUCAUAGAGGGUGAGAAUCCCGUAUGUGACUGGUUGCCUUCGCCCGUGUAAAGCUCUUUCGACGAGUCGAGUUGUUUGGGAAUGCAGCUCAAAAUGGGUGGUAAAUUUCAUCUAAAGCUAAAUAUUGGCCAGAGACCGAUAGCGCACAAGUAGAGUGAUCGAAAGAUGAAAAGCACUUUGGAAAGAGAGUUAAACAGUACGUGAAAUUGUUGAAAGGGAAGCGCUUGCAACCAGACUUGCACGCAGUUAAUCAUCUGGUGUUCUCACCGGUGCACUUUUCUGCGUUCAGGCCAGCAUCGGUUUAGGUGGUGGGAUAAAGGCCUUGGGAAUGUAGCUUCUCUCGGGGAGUGUUAUAGCCCUCGGCGCAAUGCCGCCUACCYGGACCGAGGACCGCGCUUCGGCUAGGAUGCUGGCGUAAUGGUUGUAAGCGACCCGUCUUGAAACACGGACCAAGGAGUCUAACAUCUAUGCGAGUGUUUGGGUGUCAAACCCAUACGCGUAAUGAAAGUGAACGGAGGUGAGAACCCUUAAGGGUGCAUCAUCGACCGAUCCUGAUGUCUUCGGAUGGAUUUGAGUAAGAGCAUAGCUGUUGGGACCCGAAAGAUGGUGAACUAUGCCUGAAUAGGGUGAAGCCAGAGGAAACUCUGGUGGAGGCUCGCAGCGGUUCUGACGUGCAAAUCGAUCGUCAAAUUUGGGUAUAGGGGCGAAAGACUAA
rnacentral:rRNA from 1 species